rnacentral:rRNA from 1 species
AGUGAACGCUGGCGGCAGGCCUAACACAUGCAAGUCGAACGGCAGCACAGUAAGAGUUUGCUCUUACGGGUUGCGGGUGGCGGACGGGUGAGGAAUAUAUCGGAAUCUACUUUUUCGUGGGGGAUAACGUAGGGAAACUUACGCUAAUAUCGCAUAUCACGCUCCGUUGAAAGCAGGGGAUCUUUGGACCUUGCGCGAUUGAAUGAGCCGAUGUCGGAUUUGAUAGUUGGCGGGGUAAUGACCCACCCAGGCGACGAUCCGUAGCUGGUCAGAGAGGAUGAUCGGCCACACUGGAACUUGAACACGGUCCAGGCUCCUAAGGGAGGCCGCAGUGGGGAAUAUUAGGCAAUGGGCGCGAGCCUGACCCAGCCAGCCCGCGUGGGUGAAGAAGGCCUUCGGGUUGUAAAGCCCUUUUGUUGGGAAAGAAAAGCUGCCGGUUAAUACCACGCUGUUCUGACGGUACCCAAUAAAUAAGCACCGGCUAACUACGUG